rnacentral:sRNA from 1 species
CUCAUCAGUACCAUCUUCCUUUUCUUUCUUCAUGCUGCAGCUGCUGUAUCUGAUAUCGCCCAAGAAAAUGUAUGUUUCAGCGCAAUAUGCAUAGGAGAGGCCAUAAACACAAGCGUUCUUAUGCCUAUAGCCCUUGUCCUUGUGGCUACGAAGGGAAGAGUCAUUCUUCAGCAGGUUGUUGACAUGCCUGCUCUUCAUCUCUCAGAGUCUAGCCUGUAGAUCUUCUUCAUCUAUUCCAUUAGCUGCCACUCCCAUCGGCUUCUUCCCUGGCUCUCUGGCUUUGAAUACUCCUUCUUGACAUGUCACGGCCAGCAAUUUCCCCUUUGCGCUGUAUACUCUUCCCCUUGCCACGGCUCUCCCACUUGACAUGUCGGCCACUUGCGAUUCCAUGACAUGCAAUACGGGCUCUUGAUAAUCGAGAUCUGGUGGUAAUGGGUAGAAGUGGAUUGAGUGGUCUAAGGAGGCAAUCAAGCCUAUUUGAGGAGUAGACGACAUGUUGAGACCGAUAGAGCGCGUUGCGGCACCCACUAGUUGAUAAUCGGUUAGGAUCUAUGCGUGGUCGAUACCACAUCAUUCGGGUGGUGGGCAAACCAUUGACGUAAUACUCUUUUGAAGAUGGUACUCCCGGAAUCUUCCUGGCAACCGAAGUGAAAAAGGCGGCUGAACCUCUUUUCUAUGCUGUUCUUAGCAUUGGUUUCAAUUAGAGGGAUGUUACCACUGCUCACCUUUGACCAGUCAUCGAGAUAUCCCCAUUUCCAUCCUAAUUCUUCUUUACUUUUUUCCUGCACUAGUCUUUGAAGAAAGACUUCGUUAUCUUCGCAUUGAUCCCACGGCCUUAGUUCCUUUGGAAAGGGAGCUUGAAAACUCUCCUUGACCUCGAAGCCUUCCCCAUUCUUCUGUGUAGGAUCUUCAUCCCAAGGCUGAACCAUUGCUGUCAGACUGUGCGAGACUCUGACAGGCGUAUGACCUUGGGACGAGACUGAGAACCGCUCAUAUGGUGAUUGGUAGCUAGCGAAGAGGAUAAAGAAUAUUCUCCCAUUCUGCCAUCCUCUCACUUCCCUUCGGAUAUACCUGUUCCCCUCAAAGUAGCAAUGAAUGCUAUGCAAGCCAAAUGGAGGUUCAACAGUCAAAAGCGAUGAACAAAGAGCUUGCGAAAUGACGAGACCCCCGUAGAUUGACCUGGCUCCUGGAGGUAUCCAGGUGUCAUGAGGGAUGAAGGUAAAUGGCUUGUUGGGGUGGGGAGAGACGCUUAUGCGCGAAACUAAAGACAUUCCCAUAAGUCGAGCAAAAUUCUGUCAAGAAAUGAAAGAAGCUUCAGUCAAG